CUUCCAUAUAUACCAUGUCAUCUUUAUCAAGCACUUCUUCCAAGGCAGCACUUCUUCCAAAAGAACAAGUGAGAUGGGCGAGGCAGUUAACAAAUGAAGAGAAAAGUUCAUUUGGAAUGGCAGUUAAAAUAUUGCGAGGAAAUACAGUUAUCAGGUUGCUGAUAAUACUGGAAAUUCCAACUGCUUCAGAGUCUUCUAUUUCAAUUCCAUUGAUAGUAU
rnacentral:lncRNA from 1 species